UACGAAGGGUGCAAGCGUUGUUCGGAUUUAUUGGGCGUAAAGCGCGCGCAGGCGGACAAUUAAGCCAGAUGUGAAAUCUCGAAGCUCAACUUCGAAACUGCGUCUGGAACUGGUUGUCUUGAGUAUCGGAGGGGGAAGCGGAAUCUCGCAUGUAGGGGUAAAAUCCGUAGAGAUGCGAGGGAACACCAGAGCCGAAGGGGGCUUCCUGGACGAUUACUGACGCUGAGGCGCGAAAGCGUGGGGAGCAAACAGG
rnacentral:rRNA from 1 species